GACGAACGCUGGCGGCGUGCCUAAUACAUGCAAGUCGAGCGGACAGAGGAGAGCUUGCUCUCCAAAGUCAGCGGCGGACGGGUGAGUAACACGUGGGCAACCUGCCUAUAAGACUGGGAUAACUCCGGGAAACCGGGGCUAAUACCGGAUAGAUUCUUCCCUCUCAUGAGGAAAGAAGGAAAGAUGGUUUCGGCUAUCACUUAUAGAUGGGCCCGCGGCGCAUUAGCCAGUUGGUAAGGUAACGGCUUACCAAGGCGACGAUGCGUAGCCGACCUAAGAGGGUGAUCGGCCACACUGGGACUGAGACACGGCCCAGACUCCUACGGGAGGCGGCAGUAGGGAAUCUUCCGCAAUGGACGAAAGUCUGACGGAGCAACGCCGCGUGAACGAAGAAGGCCUUCGGGUCGUAAAGUUCUGUUGUUAGGGAAGAACAAGUGCGAGAGUAACUGCUCGCACCUUGACGGUACCUAACCAGAAAGCCACGGCUAACUACGUGCCAGCCGCCGCCGUAAAAC
rnacentral:rRNA from 1 species